GACGAACGCUGGCGGCGUGCUUAACACAUGCAAGUCGAACGGAAAGGCCCUGCUUUUGUGGGGUGCUCGAGUAGCGAACGGGUGAGUAACACGUGAGUAACCUACCCUUGACUUUGGGAUAACUUCAGGAAACUGGGGCUAAUACCGGAUAGGAGCUCCUGCUGCAUGGUGGGGGUUGGAAAGUUUCGGCGGUUGGGGAUGGACUCGCGGCUUAUCAGCUUGUUGGUGGGGUAGUGGCUUACCAAGGCUUUGACGGGUAGCCGGCCUGAGAGGGUGACCGGCCACAUUGGGACUGAGAUACGGCCCAGACUCCUACGGGAGGCAGCAGUGGGGAAUAUUGCACAAUGGGCGGAAGCCUGAUGCAGCAACGCCGCGUGCGGGAUGACGGCCUUCGGGUUGUAAACCGCUUUCGCCUGUGACGAAGCGUGAGUGACGGUAAUGGGUAAAGAAGCACCGGCUAACUACGUG
rnacentral:rRNA from 1 species